rnacentral:rRNA from 1 species
CCUACGGGUGGCAGCAGUGGGGAAUAUUGCGCAAUGGGGGCAACCCUGACGCAGCAACGCCGCGUGAUUGAAGAAGGCCUUCGGGUUGUAAAGAUCUUUAAUCGGGGACGAAUUUUGACGGUACCCGAAGCAUAAGCUUCGGCGAACUACGUGCCAGCAGCCGCGGUACUACGUAGGGAGCAAUCGUUAUCCGGAUUUACUGGGUGUAAAGGGCGUGUAGGCGGGCACGCAAGCCAGAAGUGAAAUCUGGGGGCUUAACCCCCAAACUGCUUUUGGCACUGCGGGUCUUGAGUGUUGGAGGGGCAGGCGGAAUUCCCGGUGUAGCGGUGAAAUGCGUAGAUAUUGGGAGGAACACCAGUGGAGAAGGCAGCCUGCUGGACAUUAACUGACGCUGAGGCGCGAAAGCGUGGGUAGCAAACAGGAUUAGAUACCCCAGUAGUC